UGGUGGAGUGAUUUGUCUGGUUAAUUCCGAUAACGAACGAGACCUCAGCCUACUAAAUAGCUACGCUCAUUUAGUUUUGUUUCGUUGCUGGCUUGCCAGUGGCGGAAUCGAUGGGUGGCUUAGCUUCUUAGAGGGACUAUCGGUGACUAACCGAUGGAAGUUUGAGGCAAUAACA
rnacentral:rRNA from 1 species